rnacentral:rRNA from 1 species
ACCCGCUGAACUUAAGCAUAUCAAUAAGCGGAGGAAAAGAAACCAACAGGGAUUGCCCUAGUAACGGCGAGUGAAGCGGCAACAGCUCAAAUUUGAAAUCUGGCGUCUUUGGCGUCCGAGUUGUAAUUUGCAGAGGGCGCUUUGGCAUUGGCAGCGGUCCAAGUUCCUUGGAACAGGACGUCACAGAGGGUGAGAAUCCCGUACGUGGUCGCUAGCCUUUACCGUGUAAAGCCCCUUCGACGAGUCGAGUUGUUUGGGAAUGCAGCUCUAAAUGGGAGGUAAAUUUCUUCUAAAGCUAAAUACUGGCCAGAGACCGAUAGCGCACAAGUAGAGUGAUCGAAAGAUGAAAAGCACUUUGGAAAGAGAGUUAAAAAGCACGUGAAAUUGUUGAAAGGGAAGCGCUUGCAGCCAGACUUGCCUGUAGUUGCUCAUCCGGGUUUUUACCCGGUGCACUCUUCUAUAGGCAGGCCAGCAUCAGUUUGGGCGGUUGGAUAAAGGUCUCUGUCAUGUACCUCUCUUCGGGGAGAACUUAUAGGGGAGACGACAUGCAACCAGCCCGGACUGAGGUCCGCGCAUCUGCUAGGGUGCUGGCGUAAUGGCUGU